GUAAGGCCCCUUCGGGGGUACACGAGCAGCGAACGGGUGAGUAUCGCGUGGGUAACCUACCCAGAGAUGGGGGAUAGCCUCGGGAAACCGGGGGUAAUACCGCAUAUGGUCUCGACGACAUAAGUCGACGAGAGCAAAGGCGGGGAUCCUUCGGGACCUGUCGUCUCUGGAUGGGCCCGCGUCCGAUUAGCUAGUUGGUGAGGUAAUGGCUCACCAAGGCUGCGAUCGGUAGCCGGCCUGAGAGGGUGAACGGCCACAUUGGGACUGAGACACGGCCCAGACUCCUACGGGAGGCAGCAGUGGGGAAUAUUGGGCAAUGGGGGAAACCCUGACCCAGCGACGCCGCGUGGAGGAUGACGGCCUUCGGGUUGUAAACUCCUGUCAGGUGGGAAGAAAAGCCUGUCGGCUAAUACCCGGCAGGAAUUGACGGUACCACCAAGGGAAGCCCCGGCUAACUCCGUGCCAGCAGCCGCGGUAAUACGGAGGGGGCAAGCGUUAUUCGGAUUUACUGGGCGUAAAGCGCACGUAGGUGGCAUGGUAAGUCACAGGUGAAAGCCCUCGGCUCAACCGAGGAACUGCCUGUGAAACUG
rnacentral:rRNA from 1 species